rnacentral:rRNA from 1 species
GACGAACGCUGGCGGCGUGCUUAACACAUGCAAGUCGAACGGAAAGGCCCUGCUUUUGUGGGGUGCUCGAGUGGCGAACGGGUGUGUAACACGUGAGUAACCUGCCCUUGACUUCGGGAUAACUUCAGGAAACUGGGGCUAAUACCGGAUAGGAGCUCCUGCUGCAUGGUGGGGGUUGGAAAGUUUCGGCGGUUGGGGAUGGACUCGCGGCUUAUCAGCUUGUUGGUGGGGUAGUGGCUUACCAAGGCUUUGACGGGUAGCCGGCCUGAGAGGGUGACCGGCCACAUUGGGACUGAGAUACGGCCCAGACUCCUACGGGAGGCAGCAGUGGGGAAUAUUGCACAAUGGGCGGAAGCCUGAUGCAGCAACGCCGCGUGCGGGAUGACGGCCUUCGGGUUGUAAACCGCUUUCGCCUGUGACGAAGCGUGAGUGACGGUAAUGGGUAAAGAAGCACCGGCUAACUACGUG